rnacentral:rRNA from 1 species
AGAGUUUGAUCAUGGCUCAGGAUCAACGCUGGCGGCGUGCCUAAUGCAUGCAAGUCGCACGGACCGUCUUCGGAUGGUCAGUGGCGAACGGCUGAGGAACACGUACGAACCUACCCGCUCGUGGGGAAUAACGCGCCGAAAGGSGUGCUAAUACCGCGUACGCUUGGGCAACCAAGGAAAGCCGCGAGGCGCGGGCGGUGGGGCGUGCGGCCCAUCAGGUUGUUGGCGGGGUAAUGGCCCACCAAGCCGGUGACGGGUCGCUGGUCUGUGAGGACGAUCAGCCAGACUGGGACUGAGAGACGGCCCAGACACCUACGGGUGGCAGCAGCAAGGAAUCUUCGGCACUGGGCGCAAGCCUGACCGAGCAACGCCGCGUGGAGGACGACGGCCUUCGGGUUGUAAACUCCUUUCGGCGGGGACGAAACGGACGGUACCCGCAGAAGCAGCCCCGGCUAACUCUGUGCCAGCAGCCGCGGUAAUACAGAGGGGGCAAGCGUUGUCCGGAUUUACUGGGCGUACAGCGCGCGCAGGCGGAUGGUGACGUGCCGUGUGACAAGCCACAGCUCAACUGUGGAGGGCCAUGGUAGACGCACCGUCUGGAGGCAGGGAGAGGGAUGUGGAAUACCCGGUGGAGCGGUGAAAUGCGUAGAGAUCGGGUGGAACACCAGCGGCGAAGGCGGCAUCCUGGUCCUGACCUGACGCUGAGGCGCGAGAGCGUGGGGAGCGAACAGGAUUAGAUACCCCCGUAGUCC